rnacentral:rRNA from 1 species
GACGAACGCUGGCGGUGUGCUUAACACAUGCAAGUGGUGCGACGAACCAGGCUUCGGCCUGGGGCAAAGCCGCGAACGGUGAGUAACACGUGGGUAAUCUGCCCCGAUGACCGGGACAACCCGAGGAAACUCGGGCUAAUACCGGAUGUGGUGCCCAGACAUAAGUCUGGUCACUAAAGGUAGCUUCGGCUUCCGCAUUGGGAGGGCCCGCGGCCCAUUAGCUUGUUGGUGGGUCAAGGCCUACCAAGGCAACGAUGGGUAGCUGGUCUGAGAGGACGAUCAGCCACACUGGGACUGAGACACGGCCCAGACUCCUACGGGAGGCAGCAGUGGGGAAUCUUGCGCAAUGCGCGAAAGCGUGACGCAGCAACAACCGCGUGAGGGAAGACGGCCUUA